UGCUCUCAGUCGGUGUGGAUGAGGCAAAUUGCUCUGCUGUGUGGCUGAGCUCUUACUAGUGGGUGAACUUUAGCUAUAUUUAAGAGCUGCAGCAUUUAUGCUCUCUGAGAUGUACCUAGAUGAUUUUGUCUGCAGAGGUGGAGUUAUCUUUGUGCCUAUAUUUCUAUAACCUUAGGGGAUUAAGUGGAAACUCAGUGUGGUUUGCUGUCAGCAACCAAAUAGGGAUGUAGCAGGCUUAAGGCAAGGAGUAAGCAGUGUUUUGUGCUGUUAACAGAGGAGUGAGAGGGAGAAUAGGAUUGUCUUGGAUCUUGUUAGUCUGUAAAAUAAAUGAAGUGGUAUUUAUUGCUGUUUAUGGAAACUCCUCAGAGCUCUGCCAUUAGGAGAAAAGGCGUUCUCUGUUCUGAGUUGUGUUUUUUUCCAGCCUACCUGGAGAAAAUGUUUUGAGGUAGGCUGUAAUAACUGAAGUGUAACCUGCUCAGCAUUUCUUACUGGAACCAUCUGACCAGCUCUGUGUUAGCUGCACAGUAUGAGCUCAGCAGAGGUUGGUGCUCAGGGUGGAGAGGGUGAAAAGAUGUGGAUUGUUGUCAGAGAGUGCCUCUGGUUUGCAGGUAUGAUGUUGAUUCACACAUGUGUAACUCCUCCUAACAUGAAUUUCCAGUGUUUCCAAGCCAGCUGUUGGACUCGUUCUCAAACAGCUUGAAAGCCGUUAAUCACUGCUGUGUACUCUUAAACCAAAGACACGGACUUCGACUUCCUUCUCCUAGACAAGUCCUACAUGAAUUACUCAUUGACACCUCCACUGAGAGAACCAUCAGUGCAACAAACAUCCUUUCCUCCCUUUCAACUUCUCAGCAGAAGAAAGGUGUUGCUUUCACUUCAAAGCCCCUUGCUGAUCACCUUCAGGACUGGCUGUGGAGCUGGGCUGGAUGCAGAGGAGCCGGCUGUGUCCUGCACGCAGGCACUAUGCCAUGCACCACUCAGCUUCUUUGAGCACCAGCAAGGUCAGCCCCUUAUAUUUAAAUUUUUUUUCUCUAUUUGUGAACCUCAGUCAAUUUAAAAGGAAUGACUCUGGGUUGACAGCAGUCAUUCUCUUACUAGAUUAAGAAGAAAUAAGGAAAAAUCAAAUCAAGCUGGUAGCCCAAAUAUUCCUGAAGAUCUUGGUAGGGAGCAAUUCCAUCCUAUGUUAUUAAAACCGAAGUGAUGGCAAUGACAGCGCUCAGCUUUUCUCAACACUGCAAAUAUCUUUCUUGGGAGUAUAUAAAGAUUGCAGAGUAUAUAAGGGUUGCAGAAGGUGCAGGAGUCUAUCUGAGGAAGGUGGUGGUGAUCUACAGGGUACAAAGGCAACUUUUGGUCUCAAUUUCUACAUUUUGAAGUAAGAUUUGAAGGAAUUCUCAUUAUUGUUCCUUUUCUACAAUUUCUUUUUUUCAGUGAGUUAUUAUUAACACAAGAACUGCUGCUGUUUAUUUCAGUAUAAUCUAGCUGCAGGUUAUUAGUUCUCAGAAUCUGCAGGCACCAUUCAUUCAGUAGCCUAAAAAAGGUGAUGAACAAGGAGUUUUAUAACCCAGCUCUAAUGAUGGAAACUGGAAAGAAUUUCCAUUUGCUCACCCACCACCUUCAGCAUCACACCCAGAUUCACUCACUUGUGCUGCCUCACAGGACAGUGCUCAAGCUGAGCGCUGUCACCAGUGAAAGGGCCAUAAAGCUGUCUGGUCUACUGCCUAUCUGCUCCUCCUCAUUUUUUCCUAAUGUUUAUCACAUUUCUUCUAUAUUGCAUUUCACAUUCAUUAUUACUUCAUCUGUCACUAUGUACUAUUGACAAUGUCUUGGUUUUUUUACUCUCUGGGGUAACUCUGUAUUUACUGAAACUCCUCAGUGGGAAGCUCAGUCCUUUGGUGUCUAGUGCAGAAAAGAACAAGCUGCAUGGAUGUGUAUCUGUAUCUCUUGGUUAUGCAAAUGCAGCUUGAAAUGUUUGUCCUUGAACUGCUGCUGAAAGCUUUUCAAGACAGAUAAUGAGCACUGUAAGAACUAGUACUAGCAUUAGGCUCAGAAAAAAACAUAAGAAGAAAUCUUGCUUUUCAACCACGUGCUGAAUGAUUUUCAUUGCUCCUCACUUUUGCCUAACUGUGCCCCAGGCAGCUCCCUUGUUACUUGAUUCUAAAGCAGGGACAUAAUAUUCUCCUUGCUGUACUUUAUUAUUUCCUUCUUUUAUUUUUGCUCGCUUGUGCAAGGACAGAAAAAAGAAAGUAGCAGCUGGGCAAAAAUUUCUGAUCUUUAGAGCGUCGGUUCAUAUUUGCAUUCAGACUUUCAUGUGAAAUUGCAUCACUUGACCUUACUUGCUUCUCAGCUGCCUGCCUCUUAGAGCAUAAAAAUCCAACUUUUGAAUUAUAGACUGUAAAAAGUACUAAUUCUUUAAGCAGUCUCCUGAGAAGAGCACUUCACCAGAGUACAGCAGAAUGGAGAUAUCCUGUUCAUGUUGUUUAUGGUUGAGGAUACUUUCACAUGUUUUGGCUUGUAGACUUAAACAGGUUUUAGUGAGAGAUGGGAUCAUUUUGAUAAUCUCAUUUGAGUGCUGCAAAAUGUGUUCCUUGAAGCCACAGGCCCACCAAAAUACAACAUGUGUAUUCUUUAAUACACUUCCAAAAAAUCUUGGAAAAGCCAAAUGGCAUUAGACAGAUAAGUCUGGGAAGUGUUGACUGGUAAGUAAUCAAAGCGGCACAUUAACCGCUAAUCAGUGCAAUUCAGACUUUCAGUUGAGUCUUUUUUGUUUAGCAUUUUUCAUGGGAAUAUCACAUGGGAAGAUGAAAUUUCUUGCAUGAGUGAAACUUUGGGCUCUGAUUUGUGAUCUUUGCUAAUUAGUGCUGCAGUGAUGUCUUUAAAAAAAAAUCCCACAGUGCUGCUUUCCCACUGCCUGUGCCACGUGUUAGCUACCACUCCAGAACCAGCAGCAGUGAGGUCUGAGUCUUCCCAGGUGCUGACACACCAACCCGUGAACAGCAACAAAUUGAGAUCAAUGGUAGUUUAAAAUAAUACACUGGAGGCUGAGGAGCAGAUGGGCUGGCUAUGAAGGAGGUAACCUUGAGCACUGGGAGGGAGAACAGCUGAAAGUGGUGAAACUUUGAGCUAUUGUACAUCUGUAUUUGUGUAUAUUUCUUAGCCCCUGUGCUGGUUUUCUUAGAAAAGAUCAUGAGUUUGGUAUGAUUGUGUAAAAAAACAAACAAACAAAAAACACAACACCAUCAAGAGCUAACAAGUUACUAAAACCCAUGCUGUACAGACAGCAAAAAAGACCUAUUAUAUUAUUUCAUGUAAAUAACAGUGUCCUUUAAUACACAUGGCUGAGAUGAGUAACUUCCCCUUCCAUCUGGGCUAGGCCUGGGGAAACACAAGACCAGAGAUUGCUUCAGAAGGGAGGAGCAAGGUGAUCUCAAAACAAGACAAACUGGAAUGGUGUCAAAACGACCCGUCUGAUGGCACAGCAGGGGCUGCAGUGAUGGCAAAUCAGCAUCUGGUUGGCCCCAUUCUGAGGGAUGGAGGGAAGAAAACAAAAGGGGUUGGUAUCAAGGAUGGUGCGUGCAGCUGUUCUGCGCAGGUAGUAAAAGUACUCGUAGAUGUGUUCCUUCUCACAAGCUAGUUUAAAGCACAAUUUCUGAUAGUAUACUGUUCUUUUGUUUUAUGACUUCAAAAUAUUUUAAAUCUUGUCUUAAAAUUGAAGCGUAAUUUCCUCUAGAAACUCCUGUUCUAUGUUAAGGAAGAACCAGGGCUUUUAGUGAGUAGAAGUGCUGAUGUUCUGAUCUUUAUUCUUCGUUUAACCUUACCAUCAAUAGCAAAAGUGACAAAGUUUGGCACAAUCACUCCCCUAUGUUAAGGAUUUUCUACAAGAGGAGAUGUUACGUAAACUAAGCCCUUGCUUUUAAGUUUAAAUACAGUGUGCUUCAAUCACGUGUGUUCAAACAGCUGCUUGAGCUACAUUUGCCAGCAGCACGCUGCAAGGCCCUCGUGCUCUGCUGCUGUUCAUUUGCUCAGAAGAGGCUUCUUGAGAUAAAACACCACAAAUUUGGUCAGAAAAGGCAAAGCUGUGCAGAUCACAUCUGCACGGCUGGGCAUCUUCAUGCCCUGUCUGUGUCCAGCCCACAGGAGCAUGCAGCACAGGACUGAAGCAUUGGGAGGCUCCGCGGUGCUUUUCUCACAAAGGGAGCAAUGGCAGAAGGACCACGCAACCCAGCUGGGAGCUCAGGCAGCUGCUGCUGGGAAUCCUCGGCCGCAGGCAGAGGCUGAUGGCCAUCACCUUUGGCCCUUGUGGCGGUGAUGAAGCGAGCUGCGGAGUGCUUUUAAGUGCUUGUGAGCGGGCAGGGCGCAGAGCGCGGACAGC